rnacentral:rRNA from 1 species
AUGGAUUGGGCGGCGCACACCGCGCACAUACGCGCCCAGCUGGAGCGCGCGCAACGCCGGUUUAAGAAGAACACUGACCGCAAACGCACCGAGCGCCACUUCCAAGAAGGGGAACAAGUGCUGCUCAAGCUCCAGCCCUACGCGCAGCGCUCGGUGGUCAAUCGCCCGUGCGCCAAGCUUGCCUUCAAGUUCUUCGGCCCCUACAAGAUCAUCGAGAAGAUCGGCUCGCUCGCGUACAAGCUCGACCUGCCACCAGAGAGCCAGGUCCACCCCGUCUCGCAAUUGAAGCCAUUCACACCUGACUUCACGCCGGUGUAUGGAGAACUGCCCAAGGUGCCCGACCUCUCCACCACCGGCCUCUCUCCAACACGCAUCCUGGAUCGGCGCAUGAUGAAGCAGGGAAAUGCGCCAGUGGUGCAGAUCAAGGUCCAAUGGGGAGCAGGGGACUCCGCACCAACGACGUGGGAGAAUUACGAAGUUCUCCGUCACCGCUUUCCAUCCGCAGAGCUCUGGGAGGAGGACGACACCGGCGACGACGUUGAAGAAGAAGAAGAGGACGCAGCGUCUUAA